UCCAACCUGCCGAUAACUCGGGGAUAGCCUUUCGAAAGAAAGAUUAAUACCCGAUGGCAUAAUAGAACCGCAUGGUUUGAUUAUUAAAGAAUUUCGGUUAUCGAUGGGGAUGCGUUCCAUUAGGCAGUUGGUGGGGUAACGGCCCACCAAACCUUCGAUGGAUAGGGGUUCUGAGAGGAAGGUCCCCCACAUUGGAACUGAGACACGGUCCAAACUCCUACGGGAGGCAGCAGUGAGGAAUAUUGGUCAAUGGACGAGAGUCUGAACCAGCCAAGUAGCGUGAAGGAUGACUGCCCUAUGGGUUGUAAACUUCUUUUAUAUGGGAAUAAAGUGGUCCACGUGUGGAUUUUUGUAUGUACCAUAUGAAUAAGGAUCGGCUAACUCCGUGCCAGCAGCCGCGGUAAUACGGAGGAUCCGAGCGUUAUCCGGAUUUAUUGGGUUUAAAGGGAGCGUAGGUGGACAGUUAAGUCAGUUGUGAAAGUUUGCGGCUCAACCGUAAAAUUGCAGUUGAUACUGGCUGUCUUGAGUACAGUAGAGGUGGGCGGAAUUCGUGGUGUAGCGGUGAAAUGCUUAGAUAUCACGAAGAACUCCGAUUGCGAAGGCAGCUCACUGGACUGCAACUGACACUGAUGCUCGAAAGUGUGGGUAUCAAACAGGAUUAGAUACCCUGGUAGUCCACACAGUAAACGAUGAAUACUCGCUGUUUGCGAUAUACAGUAAGCGGCCAAGCGAAAGCAUUAAGUAUUCCACCUGGGGAGUAC
rnacentral:rRNA from 1 species